rnacentral:rRNA from 1 species
UUGAAGAGUUUGAUCAUGGCUCAGAUUGAACGCUGGCGGCAGGCCUAACACAUGCAAGUCGAACGGUAACAGGAAGCAGCUUGCUGCUUCGCUGACGAGUGGCGGACGGGUGAGUAAUGUCUGGGAAACUGCCUGAUGGAGGGGGAUAACUACUGGAAACGGUAGCUAAUACCGCAUAAUGUCGCAAGACCAAAGAGGGGGGACCUUCGGGCCUCUUGCCAUCGGAUGUGCCCAGAUGGGAUUAGCUUGUUGGUGGGGUAACGGCUCACCAAGGCGACGAUCCCUAGCUGGUCUGAGAGGAUGACCAGCCACACUGGAACUGAGACACGGUCCAGACUCCUACGGGAGGCAGCAGUGGGGAAUAUUGCACAAUGGGCGCAAGCCUGAUGCAGCCAUGCCGCGUGUAUGAAGAAGGCCUUCGGGUUGUAAAGUACUUUCAGCGGGGAGGAAGGGAGUAAAGUUAAUACCUUUGCUCAUUGACGUUACCCGCAGAAGAAGCACCGGCUAACUCCGUGCCAGCAGCCGCGGUAAUACGGAGGGUGCAAGCGUUAAUCGGAAUUACUGGGCGUAAAGCGCACGCAGGCGGUUUGUUAAGUCAGAUGUGAAAUCCCCGGGCUCAACCUGGGAACUGCAUCUGAUACUGGCAAGCUUGAGUCUCGUAGAGGGGGGUAGAAUUCCAGGUGUAGCGGUGAAAUGCGUAGAGAUCUGGAGGAAUACCGGUGGCGAAGGCGGCCCCCUGGACGAAGACUGACGCUCAGGUGCGAAAGCGUGGGGAGCAAACAGGAUUAGAUACCCUGGUAGUCCACGCCGUAAACGAUGUCGACUUGGAGGUUGUGCCCUUGAGGCGUGGCUUCCGGAGCUAACGCGUUAAGUCGACCGCCUGGGGAGUACGGCCGCAAGGUUAAAACUCAAAUGAAUUGACGGGGGCCCGCACAAGCGGUGGAGCAUGUGGUUUAAUUCGAUGCAACGCGAAGAACCUUACCUGGUCUUGACAUCCACGGAAGUUUUCAGAGAUGAGAAUGUGCCUUCGGGAACCGUGAGACAGGUGCUGCAUGGCUGUCGUCAGCUCGUGUUGUGAAAUGUUGGGUUAAGUCCCGCAACGAGCGCAACCCUUAUCCUUUGUUGCCAGCGGUCCGGCCGGGAACUCAAAGGAGACUGCCAGUGAUAAACUGGAGGAAGGUGGGGAUGACGUCAAGUCAUCAUGGCCCACGACCGGGCUACACGUGCUACAAUGGCGCAUACAAAGAGAAGCGACCUCGCGAGAGCAAGCGGACCUCAUAAAGUGCGUCGUAGUCCGGAUUGGAGUCUGCAACUCGACUCCAUGAAGUCGGAAUCGCUAGUAAUCGUGGAUCAGAAUGCCACGGUGAAUACGUUCCCGGGCCUUGUACACACCGCCCGUCACACCAUGGGAGUGGGUUGCAAAAGAAGUAGGUAGCUUAACCUUCGGGAGGGCGCUUACCACUUUGUGAUUCAUGACUGGGGUGAAGUCGUAACAAGGUAACCGUAGGGGAACCUGCGGUUGGAUCACCUCCUU